UUAAUUCUAAAUAAAAAUAAGAAUAGGUUAUAUAAUAACUUUUGUAAUUAAUAUUAUUUUUUCAAAUGUAAUUAAUACUGAUAAAAUUUGUAUCAGUUCCUUCACGACAGUUACAUAACCUUAAUUCGAACAAUGGGAUCUUUUUAGGGCGAAUUUUUAAUUCUGCUCAUUAAUAUGCAUCAAAUGAUUGUUAGAAAUCUGAUUUUCGAACAAUGUAUUUAUAGAGGAACCUAUAAUUAAAUAUGCAAAUAAUAGAUUAAUCAAAUUAAUAUAAAUAGCCGC